rnacentral:rRNA from 1 species
UGGCGGACGGGUGAGUAACGCGUGGAAAACCUGCCGUAUACUGGGGGAUAACACUUAGAAAUAGGUGCUAAUACCGCAUAAGCGCACAGCUUCGCAUGAAGCGGUGUGAAAAACUCUGGUGGUAUACGAUGGUUCCGCGUCUGAUUAGCUAGUUGGUGGGGUAAUGGCCUACCAAGGCAACGAUCAGUAGCCGGCCUGAGAGGGUGGACGGCCACAUUGGGACUGAGACACGGCCCAAACUCCUACGGAAGGCAGCAG